rnacentral:rRNA from 1 species
AUUGAACGCUGGCGGCAGGCCUAACACAUGCAAGUCGAGCGGAUGAAGGGAGCUUGCUCCUGGAUUCAGCGGCGGACGGGUGAGUAAUGCCUAGGAAUCUGCCUGGUAGUGGGGGAUAACGUCCGGAAACGGGCGCUAACACCGCAUACGUCCUGAGGGAGAAAGUGGGGGAUCUUCGGACCUCACGCUAUCAGAUGAGCCUAGGUCGGAUUAGCUAGUUGGUGGGGUAAAGGCCUACCAAGGCGACGAUCCGUAACUGGUCUGAGAGGAUGAUCAGUCACACUGGAACUGAGACACGGCCCAGACUCCUACGGGAGGCAGCAGUGGGGAAUAUUGGACAAUGGGCGAAAGCCUGAUCCAGCCAUGCCGCGUGUGUGAAGAAGGUCUUCGGAUUGUAAAGCACUUUAAGUUGGGAGGAAGGGCAGUAAGUUAAUACCUUGCUGUUUUGACGUUACCAACAGAAUAAGCACCGGCUAACUUCGUG